CGGCGAGUGAAGCGGCAAAAGCUCAGAUUUGAAAUCGUGUUUCGGCACGAGUUGUAGAGUGUAGGCGGGAGUCUCUGUGGAGCGCGGUGUCCAAGUCCCUUGGAACAGGGUGCCUGAGAGGGUGAGAGCCCCGUAGGGUGCUGCGCGAAGCUUUUGAGGCCCUGCUGACGAGUCGAGUUGUUUGGGAAUGCAGCUCCAAGCGGGUGGUAAAUUCCAUCUAAGGCUAAAUAUUGGCGAGAGACCGAUAGCGAACAAGUACUGUGAAGGAAAGAUGAAAAGCACUUUGAAAAGAGAGUGAAACAGCACGUGAAAUUGUUGAAAGGGAAGGGUAUUGGGCUCGACAUGGGGGGUGCGCACCGCUGUCUCUUGUAGGCGGCGCUCUGGGCGCCCUCUGGGCCAGCAUCGGUUCCUGCUGCGGGAGAAGGGGCUCCGGAAAGUGGCUCUUCGGAGUGUUAUAGCCGGGGCCAGAUGCCGCGUGUGGGGACCGAGGACUGCGGCUUCUGUCUCGGAUGCUGGCAUAACGGCGCAAUACCGC
rnacentral:rRNA from 1 species